rnacentral:vault_RNA from 1 species
GUAUCGGUUUAGCUCAGUGGUUACUUCCUACCUCUGUAAUGUUUCUAACUCACGGUCUGCAGGCUAUGAGGUUCAACCACGGGCGCUGUCCGAUGCGUUU